GAUUAAGAACGUAGCGAAAUGCGAUAAGUAAUGUGAAUUGCAGAAUUCAGUGAAUCAUCGAAUCUUUGAACGCACAUUGCGCCCGCCAGUAUUCUGGCGGGCAUGCCUGUUCGAGCGUCAUUUCAACCAUCAAGCCCCCGGCUUGUGUUGGGGACCUGCGGCUGCCGCAGGCCCUGAAAAGCAGUGGCGGGCUCGCUGUCACACCGAGCGUAGUAGCAUACAUCUCGCUCUGGGCGUGCUGCGGGUUCCGGCCGUUAAACCACCUUCAUAACCCAAGGUUGACCUCGGAUCAGGUAGGAAGACCCGCUGAACUUAAGCAUAUCAAUAAGCGGAGGA
rnacentral:misc_RNA from 1 species